rnacentral:rRNA from 1 species
UCGCCUCUUGCAUUCCAAAGUAUAAGAGGUCCCACCUGCCCUGUGACUCUAAGUUUAACGGCCGCGGUAUUCUAACCGUGCGAAGGUAGCGCAAUCAAUUGCCUUUUAAAUGAAGGCCUGUAUGAAUGGUAUAACGAGGGUCUAGCUGUCUCUUUUUUCUAGUCAGUUAAACUGAUCUGUCCGUGCAGAAGCGGACAUUAAUAUACAAGACGAGAAGACCCUAUGGAGCUUUAGACACUAGCCAACUGUGAAUAAGCGACUGAACUGAACAAGUCCUAAAUACCCGCAGCCUUAUGGUAAUGUAGUCUUAGGUUGGGGCGACCACGGGAGAAAGUAAAGCUCCCAAGCAGACCGGGAAAACCCUUAAGCCGAGAGUUGCAACUCUAAGCCGCAAAAUUUUUGACUGAAAUGAUCCGGUUGAAAAACCGAUUAACGAACCAAGUUACCCUAGGGAUAACAGCGCAAUCCUCUCCCAGAGUCCCUAUCGACGAGGGGGUUUACGACCUCGAUGUUGGAUCAGGACAUCCUAAUGGUGCAGCCGCUAU